rnacentral:rRNA from 1 species
UUGGCCUACGGGGCGCAGCUGUGGGGAAUAUUGCGCAAUGGACGAAAGUCUGACGCAGCGACGCCGCGUGAGGGAUGAAGGUUUUCGGAUCGUAAACCUCUGUCAGGAGGGAAGAAAGCGCAUGGCGCCAAUCAGCCAUGCGUUGACGGUACCUCCAAAGGAAGCGCCGGCUAACUCCGUGCCAGCAGCCGCGGUAAUACGGAGGGCGCGAGCGUUAAUCGGAAUUACUGGGCGUAAAGCGCGCGUAGGCUGUUGUGUAUGUUGUGGGUGAAAUCCCAGGGCUCAACCGUGGAUCAGCCCUUGAU